rnacentral:rRNA from 1 species
UACGGGGGGAGCAAGCGUUGUUCGGAUUUACUGGGCGUAAAGGGCGCGUAGGCGGCCACCGCAAGUCAAUUGUGAAAUCUCCGGGCUUAACUCGGAAAGGUCAACUGAUACUGCGGGGCUAGAGUGCGGAAGGGGCAACUGGAAUUCUCGGUGUAGCGGUGAAAUGCGUAGAUAUCAAGAGGAACACCUGAGGUGAAGACGGGUUGCUGGGCUGACACUGACGCUGAGGCGCGAAAGCCAGGGGAGCAAACGGG